GGCGGUGGCGGAGGAGGUCAACAGAACGUUGUUAUUGAUAACAGUCGAGGAGGCGGAAGGCAAUGGGGUGGUAGACAACAGUUUGGAGGCGGUCGACGACAGUUUGGAGGCGGACGACAACAGUUCGGAGGUGGCCGAAGACAAUUCGGAGGCGGUCGACGACAAUUCGGAGGCGGUCGACGAAAUAGGUGGUAGACACACGUUUUGAUCAUACCGUCCUUGUUUUUGAUGAUUAAAACAGUCCUGGUGAUACAGCUGAAAACCAUCUACAAAUGUUUAUAUAGACCAUAUUGGUGAUAGCCAGAACGGAAGAACAUUUUUAAAUUGUAUUUGUUAAUAUAUUUUUAUUUUGAUACUAUGUAUUUUUUCUAUUAAAGACUUCGAAUGAAA